rnacentral:rRNA from 1 species
GCAAGUCGAGCGGUAACACUUCGGGUGACGAGCGGCGGACGGGUGCGUACCGCGGGAGAAUCUACCUUUUAGUGGGGGACAACCCGAGGAAACCCGGGCUAAUACCGCAUAUGUCCUACGGGAUAAAGCAGGGGACCUUCUGGCCUUGCGCUAAAAGAUGAGCUCGCGUGAGAUUAGCUUGUUGGUAGGGUAAAGGCCUACCAAGGCAACGAUCCAUAGCUGGUCUGAGAGGAUGAUC